UCUCAGUUCGGAUUGGAGUCUGCAACUCGACUCCAUGAAGCUGGAUUCGCUAGUAAUCGCGCAUCAGCCAUGGCGCGGUGAAUACGUUCCCGGGCCUUGUACACACCGCCCGUCAAGCCAUGGGAGCCGGGGGCGCCUGAAGUCCGGGACCGCGAGGACCGGCCUAGGGCGAAACUGGUAACUGGGGCUAAGUCGUAACAAGGUAGC
rnacentral:rRNA from 1 species